AGAGGGGAGGACGUGGGGCUAUCAGUCCAACUCCUCAGUUAAUAGCCAGGGAAACAGAAGCCCAGGGAGAUAAAGACGGUGGCAGAGGAGGAAUUCUUUCUUAGCAGAUCUUCCAUUCCUAAUCCAGGAUCAUUUCCAGGGCUCCCAGGAGAAAUCUUUUGCCACAUUUGGAGAAAGGAUUGAAGAGAAAUGAGAGCCUGGAUGUGAAGAAAACAUUAGGAAGCUGCAGCAGUAACCUAUGUGAGAAAUUAAGAGAACCUAAAUCAGAUCCGUUGGCCAUCAAGAUUUCACUCAUUUUGAGACCUAGAGAUUGGUGCUCCUGGAGCUGUGAAAUGCGUGGCCUCUGUAGCCCUGUGAAGGUCUUGUUUCUAUGGCGAUACAAGAGAAAGUCUUUGCAGAGUUGUUGCAGCUGGAAGUCUUCACUUACUUUAAGAGCUCAUUAAAGCUAGUGGAGCCUUCCAAACCUGAAAUGAACUGCUCCUUACAGAACUGCCAAAAGGAAGAAAUAGAAAAGAAAAAAGAAGCAAUAGGUCCAAAAAGUCAAGAGAAGCUAUGCUGUACCCUCAACACUCUGCCUAGAGAUUUCUUCCAUGAAAUAUCCUAGUUCACAUCUGCCUCCUGCAAACUACUAGGACAUGGACACUGCUCAGCCAAGUUCUGUGCCAAUUUGUAACAAGAAUGGCCUUUCCUCCUAUUUCCAAUAAGGCCCCAUCAGCAGAGGGAGGAGAAGAGGAGAAGCAGCUGGACAUCAGAGACUAUGGUUGGACAUUGGAGAGAAGCAGCUUGACUUCAAAGGGACGGCUUGAUGGCAUUGCUUCGGAGAGGAGUUCAGCCAGGGACAGCUGGACUCUAGGGGAAUAUUAUCUUCCCACACCAUCCACUUUUCAGCUCCCCUUCCCACUGAGAACCACUUUCAUUGGCAAUAAAAUCCCCCACAUUUACCAUCU
ensembl:lncRNA novel transcript